rnacentral:rRNA from 1 species
UUUUAAUGGAGAGUUUGAUCCUGGCUCAGAGUUAACGCUGGCGGCGUGCCUAACACAUGCAAGUCGAACGGAGCGUACCAGAAUAUCGGGCGCUUAGUGGCAGACGGGUGAGUAACACGUAAACAACCUGCCCUCAAAAGGGGGAUAACCUGACGAAAGUCGGACUAAUACCCCGUAUAAUCCGGUUUCAGCAUUGAAAUUGGAUGAAAGGCCCGCAAGGGUCGAUUGAGGAGGGGUUUGCGGCCUAUCAGCUAGUUGGCGGUGUAACGGACCACCAAGGCAAUGACGGGUAGCCGAUCUAAAAGGAUGACCGGCCACAAGGGCACUGAGACACGGGCCCUACUCCUACGGGAGGCAGCAGUGGGGAAUUUU